ensembl:lincRNA
GACAAAAGCCAAUAAAUAAUAAAACUUGUUCUAUGUGCUGUUUGAGCAGAAUGAUUGUGCUCAGUUUUAACUAAGCUUUCUUGCCAUGUAUUAAAAUAUCAUGCCAACAUGAUACAAUUCUGUAAUACUGAAGAUCUUUUAGAAUUACAGUUAUCCAUUUGUUCAGGAAAAAUCAUAACAAAAGGAGUAACAUUUUUAUUUCUCAUGCUAGUUCUUUGACGUCAUACACAAAUAAGCAUAAUUAAUCAUGAAUUAUUUCUGUUCAUGAUUAAAACUCAUAUCUUUAUUUAAACAAUAAAAUUAAUUUAAUUAACACUAAAUCCUAACCCCCCAGCAGGAUUUCUUAGGAUUGUAGGAUAAAUGGUCAAGGCAAAAGGGUUUGGUUUGGUUGGUGUAUUAGGGUAAUUUAUCAUAACUAAUGUAGGCUAUUGCACAAACCUUUAAUUGAAACAUGAAUAUUGUGUCCCACUGUAACAUAUUUUUGUGGUUGACAAGAGGUUGCACAAAGCACAAACAAAGAUUUUUUUUCUAAUGAAAGGUUAUUCAAACUCUUAAUAAGCAUAGGCUUUGAGCACUGUCCCAUCCACUUAAAUUGUGUAGGUGGGACAAAAUAUAAAAACCUAAUACUAAAAAAAAACCUGAUAUUACCAUGAUUAUUACUGAUUUUAUUGCAGUAACGAAUCAUAUUCAUGUUUUCAUUUUCGUUUGUAUUGUAUGGCCUUAUGAAAAUUAGCUAAAGCUUUUUUUCCUGACAUAUGGGCCUUACCUUACCUUAGGCUGCUGAGUCAACAUCCUGUUAGACCUGUUAGGCCACGCUCCCCUAGGUGAUGUCACACUAAAGAGGGCAUGCGAUUUUUGUAGUCGAGGACACAGGCUGUUGAAUCUGCACUUUACCUCAACGUGUUUCUCGAUAUUUGACGGUAGUGAUCAAAACAUGUCUGAAGAGCCACGCAACAAAAACCUGAAGCAGACAGACCUUCUGAGUCCUAAAAAGGAGAUUAACACAGACAGUGAAAAUGAGGAGUCUUCACAUGCUGGGAUCACUAAUCAGGAAACGAUGGCUCCCACACCAAAGCUAGAAGAGAACUACUCCAAACACCCACAACAGGAAAUGAUGGCUCAAUCAUCAAAGCCAGAAGAGAAAUACUCCAAACACCCACAACAGAGAGCAGAAGAACAAGAACACACUUUCAAAUUUUGUUUCGACUCUGAUCCUGAUCCAGUUGUUGUGGAAUGUAACACAUCCAUGACUGUGCUGGCUGCUCUUGAACAAAAAGAAAUAUUUCAGAAUAACAAGAGUAUUAGAGACACCAAGAAAGAGAUGGUAAUCAAGCGAGCUAAUGGAGCUGCUGUGAAAACAGAUUUCCCAUGCUGUCUUAUUAAAAAGGAUGAGACCUUAACCAUAUUCUUCAUCAAAACGGAAAAGAAAAAGAAAGAGACACAAGCAAUACCUUCUUUACCUAGAACGGACCUAGUCAAGUUCUACAUUAAAACAACAGGAAAGGAGAAAUUGAUGUACAUAAUAAAAAGCAAUGAACUAAGAAACAAAGUUGAUUAUGUAUGUGUUUGUGGAUUAGAAGAAGAACAAACUGAAACUGCUCUAAAGCGUGAUGGACGAUUCAAUGAAAAAAUAUUCCAGAAACUCUGUGUCCUGUCACUAGUGUCUGAAUGUACUGGUAAACAAUCAAGAUAUGAAAUGUCCAACUCUGUUAAGCGUCUUAGAAACAAGAGAUUUGAGAUCAUUGCUAUUAAUGACAAACGGCCUGACUGCCAAAUGAAACUAAACACAAUCAAGACUGAAAAUGCAUCAGAUGUUGAUUAUGAGAAAUAUGAUCUGAGACAACCUACAACCAGCAGUGAACAAGGAACAAUCCAAGAGAGGGAUACAAAAUCACCAGGUCCUCCAUCUACAGGCCAAGUAACUCAGAACCCUUCUGGGGAUUUUGGAGGAUUGUUCUACACUGAGAUUAAAGAGUUUCUGCAGACUUCAUUUGAAAAUAUAAUGAAGAAGCUAAAACAGCGAAAGAACCCCCAGGUUCAGAAGUUCUUCCAAGAAGAUUACGAUAAAGGCAUUCAGUGUUUCACUGAGGUGAACAAAGUGAAGCAGAUCAUGACACUCUCUGACUCUGUGUGUAUGAUUCUAGUUGAUAAUUGUGCCACUGGAACAGGCUUCCUAGCCUUUGACAGAUUCAUCCUUACUAAUGCUCAUGUCAUUAAGGACUUUGUUAAUUGUGACACUCUUAAACUUUCACGGCCUCUGAAAGCUGUAUUUAAUUUUGAGGUUGUAGGAUCUGCGACAAAAGUUCUGUCAGUUAAAGAUGACAUAAUUGCUUGUGGUUUUGAGCUUGAUGAGAGACGCAGAUUCUAUGAUUUCGCACUUCUUGAAUUGGAAGCUACACCUGAUAACUGUCCCCAAUUGUUCAAACGUUAUAUACAUUCCCCUCCUCCAAACUGUGGUGGGAUCUACAUUGUGGGACACCCAGGUUGUGGAGUCAAGAAGAUGGACCCCUGCUUCAUUAUUGAGCCUGAGAAACAACUCCAGAGUAUAAACAAACACAUAUCUGACAAUAUGUCCUGCCCAUAUGUAUCACUGCAAGUCCUGCCGUAUCUGCAUCAGAAUAGGAUAACCUAUGACACUUGUAUGUUUCAUGGAUCUUCUGGCUCCCCGGUGUUUGAUGAACACUGCUAUCUGAUUGGAAUGCAUACUGGUGGCUUUCAUUAUAAAGAUCAAAAUAACACAGAUAGGAGUGUUAUAGAAUAUGCCUAUUCCAUGCAGUCUAUCGUGAAAGGCAUUGUCGAACAUGUCAGGUCAAGGAGACAUGACAUCUUAAAUUUACUUUCUGAGUUUGAUUCAAUUAAAGCACAGUUUAAACUUGAGAAGACUGAAGAUACAACUGGAGCAAUUCAGCAACAAGAGCAGUAUGAGAAAGAAGAGGAAAUGGAUGUAGACUGAUGGGAUUCUAGAGCCGUGUCUACUGAUUGAAGACCCAAAGUCAAUCAGAAUUUUUUUUUUUUUUUUUAAAUUUCAAUUCAAUUUUCAAAUAUCUAGUGUGGAAAAUAAGUAUUGAACACGUCAGCAUUUUUCACAGAAAACAUAUUUCUAAAUGUGCUGUUGACUUGAAAUUUUCACCAGAUGUUGGUAACAACCAAAGAAAUCCAUAUGUGCAAAGAAAAUGUAACUAAUUGGAUAACAAACAAAGUUCUGUGUAAUAAAAUGAAAUGAUGCAGGGAAAAAGUAUUGAACGCAUGAAGAAAGGGAGGUGUAGAAAGAUAGUGAAAGCCCAGACAGCAGCUGAAAUCUCUCAGUAGUUCUUCAGCAACCCUCUGCCCUUCAUCAGUGUAAAUGAAUAUCAGCUGCUUCAGUCCAACAUCUACAUUAGCAGAAGGAUGAAGAUGAAACCAGGGUGGACAUUCAGCAAGACAAUGAUCCAAAACACAGCCAAGGAAACUCUCAAAUGCUUUCAGAGAAAGAAAAUCAAGUUGUGGAAUGGCCCAGCCAAUCACCUGAUCUGAAUCCAAUAGAAAAUACAAAGUAAAGCUUAGAUUUGAUAGACGGGACCCACAGAACCAUCAAGAUUUUCACUCUGUUGAAGUCAUGAAUGCAUGUGAGUUCAUUCCCCCUAGGAGAGACAUCUUUGUACUGCCAUCACCUAAAAGCCUUAUAUAUAAAGUAUUACAUAAAUUUCAGUAGUUUCCUCCACUGUAUACAUUUUUUCAUGUACUUUUUAAUUUUUAAAAACUUAGGCAAACCCACAUAAAAUACACAUUCAGGAUAUACUUUUAAAGUACAAUAAUAAGCAACUACAAUAAAUACAUUAUCACAUAUGCUAUUCUGAAGAGCAACAGUAAAAUAAAAAACACACAGUAACAGUACAACUGCAAUCAUUCUAAAAUCUGAAGGGCUUCUGCAAAUUGUGUCGAAUGUAAAUAGUUUCUGGAAAUAAAUCAGCAAGAUAAACUGCUUAAAAGAGUCAAGGAGAUCGAGUGAAUAUCAGACCAUAAACUCACUGGUUACAAUUAUGAUAAGGAUGAAAUGGACAUGCAAUUUAAAGCAACAGAAAUUGACUGUAAAAUCGAAGUUCCUAAAGAGUCUUGAAAGAAUCUUUGACAUUGAUACCGCUAUUCUCUCAGAGGAAGUGUGAUAUUGUCAUUUUAUUCCGAGAUUGAAACAUGCCUUUUUGACUUUCUCUUUUCAAAAUGUUUUUAUGUAUGAAUGGCUAGACAUGCUGGGAAAUGUCUUUAUUUUCUUUUUCCUGACCCAUGCCAAGAGAGAAGACAAUUUAUUUGACAGAGACUAGAGUGAUAGCUCAUAUUUUUUGUAUAGUCUUUAUGAUGUAAUUCUUUUUUUUUUAUAUAUAUAUAUUUUUCUUCUUUUUACACUCUUAUUAUGUUUGAUUUGUUAUAGUAAUUUUACAUCAAUUCAUUUAACAUGUUUUACUGCAAUCAUAAAGCACAGAUAAAAACUGAUGAAUGAUAGGACUUUACUGCUGUUAUGAUAUAUCAAUAAAAUGCAUUUUAAAAAGUUUGCAUUCAAUGAGUGUUAUUACAAGUCAACUGUUCUUUCUGCUUUCAUGAUAAAUUAAGAUUUGCAUUAUAGCAAAUACAAAUUGAAAAUGCAGUACUACUGUACAUUAUUUCAUUUAUUUGUGUUUACCUUGUAAAAUUGUAUUAUUAUUCUGAUAUAUUGUUCUAAGAUUCUAAGAUUGGUUCUAAGAUUGGUCUGGUAAAUGUUGUGAAUGUGUUAUACAGAAUAAAUAUAAUCAUCAAAAACAUCCUGUGGAUCAAAUACUGAAUAGCUGUUGUUUGUUUUUGUGUGUAGCCUAUAUUUCGGUAGCCAGAAAACCAGCCAAUAAAGAAAACAUCAGUUUGACAGC